rnacentral:rRNA from 1 species
UACGAAGGGGGCUAGCGUUGUUCGGAAUUACUGGGCGUAAAGCGCGCGUAGGCAGUGAUCUUUGUCAGAGGUGAAAGCCCGGGGCUCAACUCCGGAAUUGCCUUUGAAACGGGAUUGCUUGAGUCCGAGAGAGGAUGGCGGAAUUCCUAGUGUAGAGGUGAAAUUCGUAGAUAUUAGGAAGAACACCGGUGGCGAAGGCGGCCAUCUGGCUCGGUACUGACGCUCAGGCGCGAAAGCGUGGGGAGCAAACAGG